CUUAGUGGCGGACGGGUGAGUAACGCGUGAGAAUCUGCCUUCAGGACGGAGACAACAGUUGGAAACGACUGCUAAGCCCCGAUGAACCGAAAGGGAAAAUAUUUAUAGCCUGAAGAUGAGCUCGCGUCCGAUUAGCUAGUUGGGGGGUAAAGGCCCACCAAGGCGACGAUCGGUAGCUGGUCUGAGAGGAUGAUCAGCCACACUGGGACUGAGACACGGCCCAG
rnacentral:rRNA from 1 species